UACGGAGGGUGCAGGCGUUAUCCGGAUUCACUGGGUUUAAAGGGUGCGUAGGCGGGCAGGUAAGUCAGUGGUGAAAUCUCCGAGCUUAACUCGGAAACUGCCGUUGAUACUAUUUGUCUUGAAUAUUGUGGAGGUAAGCGGAAUAUGUCAUGUAACGGUGAAAUGCUUAGAUAUGACAUAGAACACCAAUUGCGAAGGCAGCUUACUACACAACGAUUGACGCUGAGGCACGAAAGCGUGGGGAUCAAACAGG
rnacentral:rRNA from 1 species